UAGGGAAUCUUCCGCAAUGGACGAAAGUCUGACGGAGCAACGCCGCGUGAGUGAAGAAGGAUUUCGGUUCGUAAAACUCUGUUGUUAGGGAAGAAAAAAUGUAUAGUAACUAUAUACAAAAGAGACGGUACCUAACCAGAAAGCCACGGCUAACUACGUGCCAGCAGCCGCGGUAAUACGUAGGUGGCAAGCGUUGUCCGGAAUUAUUGGGCGUAAAGCGCGCGCAGGUGGUUUAGAAAGUCUGAUGUGAAAGCCCACGGCUCAACCGUGGAGGGUCAUUGGAAACUAAUAAACUUGAGUGCAGGAGAGAAAAGUGGAAUUCCUAGUGUAGCGGUGAAAUGCGUAGAGAUUAGGAGGAACACCGGUGGCGAAAGCGGCUUUCUGGCCUGCAACUGACACUGAGGCGCGAAAGCGUGGGGAGCAAACAGG
rnacentral:rRNA from 1 species